UAUUUGUUAGCCUGUUGCCUAAGAUGCAUUUGUAAAUUUUACUUACGUAAGUAGGGACACAGCUAUACUACAGAAUGAGAGAUGAAUAUCAUUAUCUCAUUCUAACAAAUAGCUUUGUCCCUACUUACGUAAGUAAAACUUACAAGUGUAUCUUAGGCCUAACGAUUUCUUAUAAAAAGGCAA